rnacentral:rRNA from 1 species
UACGAAGGGGGCUAGCGUUGUUCGGAAUUACUGGGCGUAAAGCGCACGUAGGCGGAUCGAUCAGUCAGGGGUGAAAUCCCAGGGCUCAACCCUGGAACUGCCUUUGAUACUGUCGAUCUGGAGUAUGGAAGAGGUGAGUGUAAUUCCGAGUGUAGAGGUGAAAUUCGUAGAUAUUCGGAGGAACGCCAGUGGCGAAGGCGUCUCACUGGUCCAUUACUGACGCUGAGGUGCGAAAGCGUGGGGAGCAAACAGG